CUACAAACACCCCAAGACCUGAUCCAGAACGUCCAUUUCAAACCAGGCUACCUCCACUGUCCAUUUCUUAUCCUUAACUUAGGGUUUUAUGAGUUUGCAACCUGUUUUCUAUUUAAAGACCCUUUAUGGGCGAAUUGUAAACUCUCUAAGAGAGUAAGGGGGAUUUCCCCUUCUCCUUCAUAGUCUUUGGUUACUUUGAAUCUCCCAAUCUUCAUUCUCUUGAUUACUCUAUUCUGGUUACUUAAUCUCAUACUCUCAGUCUUCUACUCUCACUCAAUCUCCCAUAAUUACUCUUAUUCUUCCAUUCACUAAAUCUCACUUUCAUUAGUCUCUCUUCACCAUUUCAAGUUCUCUCUAGCCCUUGUGGGUUUGUUCAACACUCAUACAGCCUGAGACUCUGUAAAUCUCAUAUGGUAUCAGAGCCAGGUUCAUCUGAACCUGGUAGAAGCUUCUGCAUAUCCGUUACAAGCUCACCCUCAUCUCAAAUCCAAGCCUUUGAAGAUCUGUCAAAACCGGCUACAUCUCUUCAAGAAGAAGCAGACCAAAGCCAUGGCGUUCUCUCAUGGUCUCUCCACCUUUCUCCUGUCCAUUAAAGGCGUGCCUCACCUCCUGGUUAAGAUGAAACCUCUCAAGAAGAGAGCUUUCCCUUUGCUCAUGGAGUUGGCGACUUGGAAACAUGAAGAAAGGAGUGGUCUUUACAGUUUGAGAUACAAGAAGGUGGUCAUAAAGACAAGGAGGAGCUGUUAGGUGGCGAGCCUACAUUUCCAUUCCAUCAAAAUGUCAUGACCUGGUACCUAGGAGGUUCAAGGAAUCAGCACAGAUUCCUUGGUUGUAAGCCAAUCCUUUUCCCUUCUUGAUAUGAGCUUGUAUUAUUGUUUGGUGGUAGUUGAGUGUUGUUAUUGGAUCCUUGGGUUGAUUGAAUGUUUUACUAGAUGGUAUUGUCUAGUUACUGUCCCAGGAUGCUUUAUGAGACUUGUUUGGUGUUCUUGAUGAUAUAUGCCUUGCCGUGAGUCUUGAAUGUGUUGCUAGGAUGCUAGAUGGUAUUGUCUCAUCCGCUGGUUGCAUUCAUGAUGUCUAAAACUGUUGUUAAGGUGUUUUGCAUUAUCAUUUUGUUGCUGCCUUAAGAUUGAAACAUCUAGAUUAAUGUCUAAGAUGGUGGUUAACUAUUAUUGCCUAAAUACUAUGGGUUUAAUCAUUGAACAUACAUAAGUAUUUAGAGAAUGUGCUUGCAUAGAUUAGGACUUGAUAUUAUCAUGAUCCUGUCUGUUGCAUUGACUUGCGUAUUUCCAUAGCUCAAAUCGCCAUGAAUAUGUUGUAGGAAUGAGUAGAAUGUCUCAACUGAUUACAUCAUGAUUGAUAAGCUGUUUUGCAUAUAUAAGCAUGUCUCAUACUGUCUAAGUUCAAUCCUAUUAUUGUCUGAUCUCUUUGUGCAUUCAUAAAUAGAAACUGAUUAAGGUUAUUGCAUAUUGUCAUCUUGCUGCUGCCUUAGGUUGAUACACUUAGAUUCAAGUCUAAAAUGUAGUUACGGCAGAAGUUAAUGCCUAAGUAGCUUGUCUUGAAUCUGAUUUGAUCUUGCUUGUACUUAUAGAGAUUGCUUGCAACGAUGUGAACUUGAUAAUGCUUGUUUCAAUCUGUUGCAUAGCUUGUUACAUUGGAGAUCAAACUUGAUAUUGGUCAAGGAUUGAUCCCAAUGCUUGUGUCUUAUCUUUGCUGGAGUUUGAGUGAUGUUUCAGGUCCACAUGAUGUGCUCUUGGUUCAUCAUCAAUCUUAGUAAAAGAGGAAGACUUUACCCAUUGGGAAUGGUCGCUGGGGUGUAUGUGGAUACAUAAGGCGAAUGGUCAUCACCUAAGUCUGGAGGAGACUGGUGACCAGAAGGCAUUGGAGAUAAAGGGAAGGGUUGAUCAGUGGUUGAAGCGUAAUCCAUGAGAUGUUGCGCUCCUGAUCUUAAGGCUCAUUGAGGCUCACUUCAAGCUUGGACCCAUACUCAAUCCAAGCUUGAGGAGCAAAGUGAGCCACCUGAUGAUCCUGUUGCUCAAUGACCUGUAUUACUCAAGGUCAUUACAAGCUAAUCAUAGAGUGAUUCAGCCGAAGUAGAGGGAAGAAGAAGGUCACUCAACAAGGCGUGUGAGGUGCUUGGAGAGUUGGCUGAGGUAUCUCCUCAAUGGAAUGAUGAUGUAGUGGAGGUUCAAGCAUCAAGUCCAAAGGAGAUGGAGGUGCUUUCCACAAGACUUAUCAUGGAACUAUCAUGCGCUCACCAUCAAGCUUAGACCUUCCCUAUACUUGGUCUCAAGCCUGAAGAGGAGUGUGGAUGAGCUUGCAUGAUAAGAGAAGGAGCUGUUAAGCUCAGCAAGUGAGGGAUUCAAGUGGUGUGUGAAGAGCAGCCACUCCUCACCAUUUAUACAAGGGAGUAAACCUGAUCUUUAUCUCUUUCUAUACAAUCAUGAUAGGUUUAUCUCUUGAAAUUGUCUUGCAUCAAUUAGGUGCUGUCUAAGUUAUUGCAUUCAUGCAUUGAACUGUCAAAUUGAUCAUGCAUUGUUACCCUUAUCUAGAUUGUGCUUGUCCUUGAUCUUUUGUUUGCCUAUUUCAGAAUUAAUAUUUUGUUGAGGUAUUGGUGAUCAAACAAGAUGUGUGAUCUUGCUUUGGUCCCAAUAGGAUGAUUUAAUUUUGCAUUGAGUUGUUGUGGUUUUUAGGUACACAAGCAGUGAUACAAGUGACUCACCAACAACCAAGAGUGUAAAGACAAAGGUCUUUUGCCAUUGCAUAUCAUCACUAGGACAUGUCAGUCCCCAAUCUACAGGAAGUGUAGUGUGAUUGAUUAUGCAAUGAGAGAUGGCUACUGCAUAAUACCAUUAGGACAUGUCUAGUCCUUAGUCUACAGGAAGUGUAGCAUGGGACAUUAUGCAAUAAGAAGUGUGACUUGUGAUGCUCUCUAUGGUGAUUCAAACACCCUAGUUCCUGGUAUAAGGAAGAGAGCAGCUCACAAGACCGAGACCAUCACCCCAGCUGUUGAGACCGGUGGUCUAAGGCCAUGAAAGUGCUUACACCUACACAAGCUUAGUUCCAAAUCAAAGUCUCGGAAACUAAGCUUGAGGGGGGAAUGUUAAAUAAGCAAGGUUCAUGGCCUGAUAGGUCUUUGCAAAGGCUUCUAAGAAGAACCAUCAAACGGGCCAAGUCAGUGGCGUGUCUAGGCAAGAGGCUGUUCAGAGCAGUCUUAGCAAGUGAGGAGGAAGGCUCUCCAUCAAUGCGGCUUCAAUGAGAGGCGGCUGAGGAGAAGCUGAUAGACCCAUUUAGUCAUCCAACAAGUUGAUAGUGCCAAGAAGAUGAUGCAUUGGCCGAGUGGGAAACUCACCAAAAAUAAAAAGGGAAGUCUACUUAUCAUGUUACUCAAGAUGAUUGAUUUAAUGCAGCUUAGUCUGAAAAGAUAAGCCUAUGUACUUGGAUUUCUCUCCUAAAGAACUGAGGCACUGCGUUCAUAUUGAAUCAGGUACUUGUGAUCUUGAUAAGCAACCUUUAGGAGAUGGAUGUGAUACCUACAGAGACUACUUGAGGGAGGAUCAAGUGGAGAGUCAAGCUGUAUCAGUCCCUAAGAUGAGCCGGUACAAGGGAAUGUGUACAAGUGGAGGAUGCGUAUGCUCAUAGAAAGCUCCUCACCAAAACAAAAAAAGGAAGUGUCCCUUAGUCUCUUUCAGUUCAAUUCAUUCUUCUAUUAAGGGCUUAAGCUUGAAAAAGUUACUAGAAAUGAAUUGAUUGAACUGAGAUUAUACUGAAAAAGAUUGAUUGAAUUGUGUGCAUCAAUUGUGAUGCAGGAUAUUCAAAUUCUUGGUUCUUGAUAAGUACUGAUGCACCUUUGGAAUGUGUAUCAGGUACCUUUGCUUGGCGCCUUAUUAAACAGUUCCGGGUCAUCUCUUAGCUUCUCUAAAGAGGCUGUGAAGUCUGUGGAGAGGGGGAGAUUCCAAACCUGGUCUAUGAAGAGGGCAAGCCGUGUGUGAAGUGUUGAGCAGCCUCACUGGUGUUUUGAAGAUGAUCUGGUCGUGUCCUAGCUUCUCUAGGAUGGCUGUGAAGUCAGUUGAGAGGGGGAGACUUCAAACCGGUUCCAUGAAGAGAUGAAGCUGAGUUGUUAAGUGCGCAAAGUCUUGAUGAGUUGCUGCACCAUCUUAGGCCGUGAUCCAGAACUUCUUGUGUCCAACCACACUGGUUCUAAGGCACAAGAGUUCAUUGGCCAAUCCCUAGGCCCUUAAGAGCUCUACUCUUUUUCCCUUGCAAAGUUUUGUCCCACAGGGUUUUCUUUGCAAGGUUUUUAAUGAGGGAGACUCUUCAGGGUUCCAAGCUUGGCUCAGGAUCUCCUAGAGUCAAGCUUGAGGGGGAGAAGCUUGGCUCAGGAUCUCCUAGAGUCAAGCUUGAGGGGGAGUGUUGAACUGAAGAGAAGAUAGAAGCUUGUGCAAAGAUAGGGCAAGCUUCAGGAGAUGUUCAGAAGAGUUCAACCAAGCUUCAGAAGUACCCUGAAGUGUAUAUCUUGUGAAGUUAAGUCCAAGAAGGGCUUAGACUGAUCUGUAGAAGAUAUUAGAGGAGUUUGGGAGGAAAUGGUCGAUGGUGCAAAGUUAGGGUCGGCUGUACGGACGGCCGUACGGACUGUACGGACCGGUACGGAUGAGAUCGACCCGAAACAUCUUUUCUCAACCAUCUGAAGACAUUUGGUGCUUGUGCAAAAAUAGGGCACAAGGGUACGGUCUGAGAAGUAUGUGCAAGGUCCGGGUUGAGUAAUGGUAUCAAAAGAGCAUCAAGAAGAUGCUGUGUGCAAUGGGAAUCUAAGGGAGCUGGCACACGGUUCUGAUUGGCUUAUGAUAGUCCAAGACAGGCUGGAUGUUGCUGGAAAGAAAGAGACAAAGGCUGGCUAUGUAUCUGGACAAAGAUAUGGACAGAUACAUAAGGCAGUGUGGAGUAUUUCUAGCCAAGCAUUCCCACAUCCAAUCAGGAGCAUACAACCAGCUACAAACACCCCAAGACCUGAUCCAGAACGUCCAUUUCAAACCAGGCUACCUCCACUGUCCAUUUCUUAUCCUUAACUUAGGGUUUUAUGAGUUUGCAACCUGUUUUCUAUUUAAAGACCCUUUAUGGGCGAAUUGUAAACUCUCUAAGAGAGUAAGGGGGAUUUCCCCUUCUCCUUCAUAGUCUUUGGUUACUUUGAAUCUCCCAAUCUUCAUUCUCUUGAUUACUCUAUUCUGGUUACUUAAUCUCAUACUCUCAGUCUUCUACUCUCACUCAAUCUCCCAUAAUUACUCUUAUUCUUCCAUUCACUAAAUCUCACUUUCAUUAGUCUCUCUUCACCAUUUCAAGUUCUCUCUAGCCCUUGUGGGUUUGUUCAACACUCAUACAGCCUGAGACUCUGUAAAUCUCAUAUGGUAUCAGAGCCAGGUUCAUCUGAACCUGGUAGAAGCUUCUGCAUAUCCGUUACAAGCUCACCCUCAUCUCAAAUCCAAGCCUUUGAAGAUCUGUCAAAACCGGCUACAUCUCUUCAAGAAGAAGCAGACCAAAGCCAUGGCGUUCUCUCAUGGUCUCUCCACCUUUCUCCUGUCCAUUAAAGGCGUGCCUCACCUCCUGGUUAAGAUGAAACCUCUCAAGAAGAGAGCUUUCCCUUUGCUCAUGGAGUUGGCGACUUGGAAACAUGAAGAAAGGAGUGGUCUUUACAGUUUGAGAUACAAGAAGGUGGUCAUAAAGACAAGGAGGAGCUGUUAGGUGGCGAGCCUACAUUUCCAUUCCAUCAAAAUGUCAUGACCUGGUACCUAGGAGGUUCAAGGAAUCAGCACAGAUUCCUUGGUUGUAAGCCAAUCCUUUUCCCUUCUUGAUAUGAGCUUGUAUUAUUGUUUGGUGGUAGUUGAGUGUUGUUAUUGGAUCCUUGGGUUGAUUGAAUGUUUUACUAGAUGGUAUUGUCUAGUUACUGUCCCAGGAUGCUUUAUGAGACUUGUUUGGUGUUCUUGAUGAUAUAUGCCUUGCCGUGAGUCUUGAAUGUGUUGCUAGGAUGCUAGAUGGUAUUGUCUCAUCCGCUGGUUGCAUUCAUGAUGUCUAAAACUGUUGUUAAGGUGUUUUGCAUUAUCAUUUUGUUGCUGCCUUAAGAUUGAAACAUCUAGAUUAAUGUCUAAGAUGGUGGUUAACUAUUAUUGCCUAAAUACUAUGGGUUUAAUCAUUGAACAUACAUAAGUAUUUAGAGAAUGUGCUUGCAUAGAUUAGGACUUGAUAUUAUCAUGAUCCUGUCUGUUGCAUUGACUUGCGUAUUUCCAUAGCUCAAAUCGCCAUGAAUAUGUUGUAGGAAUGAGUAGAAUGUCUCAACUGAUUACAUCAUGAUUGAUAAGCUGUUUUGCAUAUAUAAGCAUGUCUCAUACUGUCUAAGUUCAAUCCUAUUAUUGUCUGAUCUCUUUGUGCAUUCAUAAAUAGAAACUGAUUAAGGUUAUUGCAUAUUGUCAUCUUGCUGCUGCCUUAGGUUGAUACACUUAGAUUCAAGUCUAAAAUGUAGUUACGGCAGAAGUUAAUGCCUAAGUAGCUUGUCUUGAAUCUGAUUUGAUCUUGCUUGUACUUAUAGAGAUUGCUUGCAACGAUGUGAACUUGAUAAUGCUUGUUUCAAUCUGUUGCAUAGCUUGUUACAUUGGAGAUCAAACUUGAUAUUGGUCAAGGAUUGAUCCCAAUGCUUGUGUCUUAUCUUUGCUGGAGUUUGAGUGAUGUUUCAGGUCCACAUGAUGUGCUCUUGGUUCAUCAUCAAUCUUAGUAAAAGAGGAAGACUUUACCCAUUGGGAAUGGUCGCUGGGGUGUAUGUGGAUACAUAAGGCGAAUGGUCAUCACCUAAGUCUGGAGGAGACUGGUGACCAGAAGGCAUUGGAGAUAAAGGGAAGGGUUGAUCAGUGGUUGAAGCGUAAUCCAUGAGAUGUUGCGCUCCUGAUCUUAAGGCUCAUUGAGGCUCACUUCAAGCUUGGACCCAUACUCAAUCCAAGCUUGAGGAGCAAAGUGAGCCACCUGAUGAUCCUGUUGCUCAAUGACCUGUAUUACUCAAGGUCAUUACAAGCUAAUCAUAGAGUGAUUCAGCCGAAGUAGAGGGAAGAAGAAGGUCACUCAACAAGGCGUGUGAGGUGCUUGGAGAGUUGGCUGAGGUAUCUCCUCAAUGGAAUGAUGAUGUAGUGGAGGUUCAAGCAUCAAGUCCAAAGGAGAUGGAGGUGCUUUCCACAAGACUUAUCAUGGAACUAUCAUGCGCUCACCAUCAAGCUUAGACCUUCCCUAUACUUGGUCUCAAGCCUGAAGAGGAGUGUGGAUGAGCUUGCAUGAUAAGAGAAGGAGCUGUUAAGCUCAGCAAGUGAGGGAUUCAAGUGGUGUGUGAAGAGCAGCCACUCCUCACCAUUUAUACAAGGGAGUAAACCUGAUCUUUAUCUCUUUCUAUACAAUCAUGAUAGGUUUAUCUCUUGAAAUUGUCUUGCAUCAAUUAGGUGCUGUCUAAGUUAUUGCAUUCAUGCAUUGAACUGUCAAAUUGAUCAUGCAUUGUUACCCUUAUCUAGAUUGUGCUUGUCCUUGAUCUUUUGUUUGCCUAUUUCAGAAUUAAUAUUUUGUUGAGGUAUUGGUGAUCAAACAAGAUGUGUGAUCUUGCUUUGGUCCCAAUAGGAUGAUUUAAUUUUGCAUUGAGUUGUUGUGGUUUUUAGGUACACAAGCAGUGAUACAAGUGACUCACCAACAACCAAGAGUGUAAAGACAAAGGUCUUUUGCCAUUGCAUAUCAUCACUAGGACAUGUCAGUCCCCAAUCUACAGGAAGUGUAGUGUGAUUGAUUAUGCAAUGAGAGAUGGCUACUGCAUAAUACCAUUAGGACAUGUCUAGUCCUUAGUCUACAGGAAGUGUAGCAUGGGACAUUAUGCAAUAAGAAGUGUGACUUGUGAUGCUCUCUAUGGUGAUUCAAACACCCUAGUUCCUGGUAUAAGGAAGAGAGCAGCUCACAAGACCGAGACCAUCACCCCAGCUGUUGAGACCGGUGGUCUAAGGCCAUGAAAGUGCUUACACCUACACAAGCUUAGUUCCAAAUCAAAGUCUCGGAAACUAAGCUUGAGGGGGGAAUGUUAAAUAAGCAAGGUUCAUGGCCUGAUAGGUCUUUGCAAAGGCUUCUAAGAAGAACCAUCAAACGGGCCAAGUCAGUGGCGUGUCUAGGCAAGAGGCUGUUCAGAGCAGUCUUAGCAAGU
rnacentral:lncRNA from 1 species